ensembl:lncRNA
GUAAGGGGAAAUCUGAAAUUCUCAGCAUGAAGUAGUAAUAGUGGCUGCAGAAAAUGUUCAAAACAAAUAAAUAAAGAUUUUAAAGGAGAUAAAGUACAUCAGUUUAAAAGGCCUCUUAAAAUAUAGAUUAGAUGAUGCCUUAUUAUUAUUAUUAUUUGCAUAGAUUUGUUACUUGCAUGCUUCUGUAGUACUCUAUGUGUAGAACAGUACACUGUGGAUACCCGAACUUCAGAAGUUGAUGUAUUUUGAAGAGGACAGAGAUGAAAUCUAUCAAGAAAAAUGAAUAAUUCAGGGUUAUUUUCACGACUUUACUCAUUCCAUCAUGUUUUUUCUCCAUAGACAGUACUAACUACAUUACACAGAAAUUAAACCAAAGUGGUGCCAAUUCAAAGUAACAUGAAAUGCUGACAAGCAAAAGUAAGCAAACAUGCAAAUAAAAAUAUGAUAAUUAACUACAAAUUAAUUUUGUACAUAUUUGAAAGUAUGUAUGAGUUAAAAUCUUUAUCAUUAACUAACCAAUGAUGAACCGUGAUAAGGAAAUCAAAGCAUUUAACUUUUCACUGUAACUAUACAUAAAGUUAACUCAGUAGUAGUCUAAAACGAAUAUAUUAUUUUAAAUCUGUUUAAAUAACAUUGGUUUAAAUCUCCUUUUGUCUCACAUAACUGAGCUUAAGUCACAAUUUAACUCACAGCUAUCAUCAAGAGGACUGUGGAGGAAGAAACACUGACAUGUCACUGAUGGUGUGAACAUUUGUAGUUUCAGUAGGAAAAAAAAAGGAGACUAAGGUGUAAACAAGGAUGAGGGUAAACAGUAAUGGAAUACAAGUUCAAUAGAAGUAAUACUGUUUCAGAUGAAAUUGAUGCUCCACCACCUUCAAUGUCUUCACAGUUCUGCCUGACAGUUGCUCCAGAGAUCAUUGAGUCCAACACCCCUACUUAAGCAGGUACCCUACAAUAGAUUGCACAGGUUAGCAUUCAGAUGAGUCUUGAAUAUCUCCUUAGAAGGAGACUCCACAGCCUCUCUGGGCAGCCUGUUCCAGUGCUCCAUCACCGUUACCAUAAAUAAUUUAUUCCAAGUGUUAGUACAAAAAUUCCUAUGUUCAAAUAUUAGGCCAUUACUUCUUGUCCUAUUGCUGCACACCACUGAGAAGAACCUGGCCUCAUCCAUUUGCCUCCCACCUCCCUUUAGAUAUUUAUAAACACAUAUCAGAUUCCCUGUCAGUCUUCUUUUCCCCGGACUGAACAGACCCAGGUUACUCAGCAUUCCCUCAUAUGGAAGAUGCUCCAGGCCCUUAAUCAUCUCUGUGGCCCUCUGCUAAAUUCCUUCUAGCACAUCCCUGUCUUUUCUGAACUGGGAGCCCAAAACUGGACACAGUAAUGUAAAUGUGCCCUCACCAGGGCAGGGUAGAGGGGGAGGAUCACC